GACGGUCGAUGUCGAUUUAGAGGUUGUGGUCUUGACCGUGGCUUCUGGAGCUAACGCGUUAAAUCGACCGCCUGGGGAGUACGGCCGCAAGGUUAAAACUCAAAUGAAUUGACGGGGGCCCGCACAAGCGGUGGAGCAUGUGGUUUAAUUCGAUGCAACGCGAAGAACCUUACCUACUCUUGACAUCCAGCGAAUCCUUUAGAGAUAGAGGAGUGCCUUCGGGAACGCUGAGACAGGUGCUGCAUGGCUGUCGUCAGCUCGUGUUGUGAAAUGUUGGGUUAAGUCCCGCAACGAGCGCAACCCUUAUCCUUUGUUGCCAGCACGUAAUGGUGGGAACUCAAAGGAGACUGCCGGUGAUAAACCGGAGGAAGGUGGGGAUGACGUCAAGUCAUCAUGGCCCUUACGAGUAGGGCUACACACGUGCUACAAUGGCAGAUACAAAGAGAAGCGACCUCGCGAGAGCAAGCGGAACUCAUAAAGUCUGUCGUAGUCCGGAUUGGAGUCUGCAACUCGACUCCAUGAAGUCGGAAUCGCUAGUAAUCGUAAAUCAGAAUGCUACGGUGAAUACGUUCCCGGGCCUUGUACACACCGCCCGUCACACCAUGGGAGUGGGUUGCAAAAGAAGUAGGUAGCUUAACCUUCGGGAGGGCGCUUACCACUUUGUGAUUCAUGACUGGGGUGAAGUCUAAAAGGGGGGAAACCAAAAGGGGGGGGGGGGGGAUGUGAACCGAAAAGUAUG
rnacentral:rRNA from 1 species